CCUACGGGGGGCAGCAGUGAGGAAUAUUGGUCAAUGGACGAGAGUCUGAACCAGCCAUGCCGCGUGAAGGUCAGUGCCCUAUGGGCGUUAAACUUCUUUUGUGCGGGAGCAAUAAUGGUCACGUGUGGCCAGACGAGAGUACCGUACGAAUAAGCAUCGGCUAACUCCGUGCCAGCAGCCGCGGUAAUACGGGGGAUGCAAGCGUUAUCCGGAUUUAUUGGGUUUAAAGGGUGCGUAGGCUGUGAGGUAAGUCAGCGGUGAAAUGCCCCCACUCAAUGGGGUGAAGUGCCAUUGAUACUGCCUUGCUUGAAUGCGGAUGCCGUGGGAGGAAUGUGUGGUGUAGCGGUGAAAUGCAUAGAUAUCACACAGAACACCGAUUGCGAAGGCAUCUCACGAAUCCGCGAUUGACGCUGAUGCACGAAAGCGUGGGUAUCAAACAGGAUUAGAUACCCUGGUAGUC
rnacentral:rRNA from 1 species